rnacentral:rRNA from 1 species
GAUGAACGCUAGCGGCAGGCCUAAUACAUGCAAGUCGAGGGAGAAUGUUGGAUUCGUCUGACAUGAAACCGGCGCACGGGUGCGUAACACGUAUGCAACCUACCUUUAACUGGGGUAUAGCUCAGAGAAAUCUGAAUUAAUCCCCCAUAAGACUACGACAUGGCAUCAUGAUGUAGUUAAAGCUCCGGCGGUUAAGGAUGGGCAUGCGGUACAUUAGCUAGUUGGUGAGGUAAUGGCUCACCAAGGCUACGAUGUAUAGGGGGUCUGAGAGGAUGAUGCCCCACACUGGUACUGUGACACGGACCAGACUCCGACGGGAGGCAGCAGUAGGGAAUAUUGGUCAAUGGACGCAAGUCUGAACCAGCCAUGCCGCGUGAAGGAUGAAGGCCCUAUGGGUCGUAAACUUCUUUUAUUAGGGAAGAAAAAACGGGACGUGUCCUGUACUGACGGUACUUAAUGAAUAAGGAUCGGCUAACUUCGUGCCAGCCGCCGCCGUAA